ensembl:lncRNA
GGGGGCCCCGCGCCCCGCGCCGCCGGACACGGAGGGAGCGCCGGGCCCGACCGCAGCCCCCCCCGCGUCUCUCCUUCCGACGGGGCACGGAGCGCCCGCAGCCCUCAGCCCGCUUCCAACGAGGACUCCGCGCUCCUCGGGGCCGCCGGGCCCCCCUCCUGUCCUCUCCUCUCCUUUCCUCUCCUUUGCUCUCUUCUCUCCCGUCCUGUCCCGUUCCAUCCCGCCCCCUCUCCGUGCCGGCACUGCCCCACCAGCAUCCCGGCGUCUGCACCGGAGCCCACGGCCGCGAGAGGCGAUGCGAUGCGAUGCGAUACGAUGCGAUGCCACGCAGGGGUUCGUCUCUGGACCAACGUCCAUUGUCUCCUUCGAUUUCCCUUUUGAAUUUAGCCCAUCUCCCCCCCUCCGUUCCGCAGCGUUGUUUUCCGGGAUGCAGAACUCCGGGCAGCCGACCCGGACCCCGCAGCCGAGCAGAAACCUCCCACAGCUCCAUUUGACCUUCCAGCACACGGGUGAGAAGAGCAGAGCGCGUCGGGGGAAGAAAUCUCGCAGCAACAAAGAGAGAACAAGCAGAGCGGUGCGGUGUUUUCUGGCCGCAGCCACACGGAGAGGCUGAGCGAGGCCCGGAUGCACCCCGCGAGGGGAGGAGAGGGGUUGUGGUGGUGGUCUGCCGUGCUCGGUGGUGGGAGCCGACUCCCCUCCUGCUCCCCAACGCCAGCGGGCAGAGCCGGGCUUCGCGUGGCGGCGGUUCGGUUGUUCCUUCUGUGUCUGUAUACACACAGCCCUGUAUGUGUGUAUAGAUAUGAGGUGGUUGUUUCGCUUGGUUGGUUUUUGUUUUUGUUUUUCUUUUUCAAUGGCUUGGAUUCUGUAGGAGACGGGCAAAAGGCUUUUAUCCGGAAGGGGAACGCCGGGUUUGUGGAGCUUCCAGAUUUCUGUCGCCCCGGAAGGGACGGUUUGAGAGCGCGACUCUAUCAAAGCAUCUGCUGUACAAACGGAAAUGUAAAUCUUGUAUAGCGCCCCAGAACCUCGUGUAAAUAGCCGAGACGUCCGGGCCGGCCGCCCGCGUGGAUCAGCCCAAGAAUCAAAUCCCACGGCUCCGUCAAAGUCAAAACUGCUUCGAUUUUCCCCGCUCCCUCCCAAGAGAAAACGGAAACGCUGCGUUACCCCGCGUGCUUCCGGCCGCCCCGGGGUAACGGGCGCAGGAGUUGGCUGCAGUGAUCCCCUCAUAUUGAGUGGUCCAUCACUCCGUGACAGCGGAGGGCGACUCGUCGGGAUGCGGCCGCUCCCCGGCGCGGUUCCGAGGCGCUUCGCUCCCCAGCUGCUCCGCUCUGCACUGAGGGGCAGCUUCUCUCGUUGGCGGAAAAGAAAACCCACCUCGCCGGCUUCUCUUUUAAAAUAGAAGAUGAAAAAAAAAAAAAAUUAAAAAGGAAAAAAAAAAAAAGUUAAAAAGAACCGUGAAGCGAGUGGUGAUGGUACGCGGGGCGGCGCGGCGACCGUCUCUCAGCAGAUAUUUGCCACGGGGCCGGGAGCAGAUUGAGAAGAUGGCCGUUGGAAGAGCAGCUCAGCUCCGUGCCGGGAGGUUUUGGGGACGUCUGUGCGUGCUGCGGGUCCCUCCUCGUCCUCCCGUGGCUGCGGCGGUGCCCGGCAGGGCGCUGCUGCUGGGUGUGGUGGUGUUGGCUCUGAGCGUGGCACAUUCCAGGCCCGCUGUGUGGGAAGGCGCUCGCCCCGUCCUGCAGCACGGAUUGAAGCUCGGAGCUCGGCAGCGAUGGAAGGAGGCGACGGGCGGCUCCUGGAGGCAGCGCGAGGCCGACAAGAUGGCGGAGCAGGCGGUUAUCCCGGGGCGCAGGAGGAGCCGGGGGCCGCUGGAUGGCAAAACACCUUGCAAGGAGGGCCGGGCCUGGCUCCUGCAAUAUCUGCUGAGAGACCAAAACGUCGUUCACGUCCUCCCCGCGUACCUUGACGAAAGAAGAAAGUUUUAUUCCUCUUAUUUUUUUAAUGAAAGAAAGAAAAAAAAAAUAAAAGCAAACCAUGCACUUUACGCGGCCCAGCGCGGGGCUGCCCGGGGGGGUCCCGUCCCCUCUCCCACGGCGGCGGGGCCGAUUCUCAUUCCCUUCCUCUGCGGCCGGCGGGGCGGCUUCGGGAGCGCCGGGGAGCGGCCGGCGUUUGCCGAAGGCAGGUCCUGGAUUUACCACUAGCAAAAGAUGACGCCCGACGUGACGAACUCCUCAUGCUAGCGAGCACUCCUUACCGUAGCAGAUUUUUGCAAAUGGAGUUUUACAGUCUAUAUUUAAAGAAUUGUAUGUUUGUAACAAAUAAAAAAAAAAAAAAAGUAUGCGGAAAAGUGAAUGAAAAAAAAAAAAAAAACAACAAAAAAAAAAAACCCACACGCUCGCCUGGCCUCGCUUUUUUGGGGGGCUGGGGGAGGGGGGGGGGAUGCAUCUCACGGAGGGGGUCGGGGGUGGUCGCUGUGGCACGUGGGCCAUAAGCAGCGUGGCCGCACCAUCCUGGGACGACGCAUCCCUGUGCGGGCCCCCAGCGCGGGGACAGCUGGGCCGGGCUGCGGGAAGAG